CUUUGCUACAGGAAACAACAACAACAAUUUCUGAGCAGCAACCCAAACACUGAAAAUUUCAAAUCCAUUCUGCUUUGUUCUUUCAGUAAAUUACCCAGUGACGGUUCUUUCCUCCCUGCAUCCAGAUAUUCCACCAAAACAAUCCUUUUUGCAGAGGCGCAGUCACUGCAUCCUGGGCUUAGAACCUUAAUGAAAUGCAAAAGCCCGUCGUCUUUUGUCUAACGAGGUGCAGUCAGACAGUCAGACCAUUCUCCAGCUAUGGAGAAUGGUCUGGAGACACUUUGCGGACUGGGAAAGCAUGAGUUGGCCUUUAUGACCAGACAGAUGUUUGACUUUACAUUCACUUGUAGAUAGAACUGAAGCAUCUGACUUGCAGAGGUAAAAAAAAAAAAAAAAAAAAAAAAAAAAAGACAUUGAAGUCAUUGAGAAUCUUGUAGCUAGUGACAUGAGGAAAGCCGUGGACAAAGCACAGCAUCAAACUGUACGUGUGUCAGAGUCGAAGAAAAACGAUGUCACAACUUACGAAUGUAAUCCAAGAAUUGUUUGGGAUCGGCGGCAUCGGGAGGAAGUGACAUCCAGCGUUUCCUAUCGAGCUGUGGAUUGGAUAAACCCGACCGCCAACCGGUGUCACGAACAUCCGAGAAAGACUUUAAAAAGACCAGCCUGAGGAAAAACGACAGACCACUAGACGUACAACUCUCGAGUCCCACAGUUAAUUUAUUCAUGUGUUGAUGUGACACUUCAUCUAUUUAUUGUUUGUAUUUAUUUAUUAGGCAGCUGAUUAUUGCCGGCUGUGCGCUCGCACGGUUCGGCCAACACUUUUGUGGAGUCAAUUGAGAAGAUGCUGUUUUGUUUGUGGUUUUUAUCGGGGUCAAACAAAAACAAGGAAGUGAAAUCUUCACAGUUGGACUAUCGGACUACUGUGCCUUUUACCAAAUAGGAUGUGUUCGGAAAAGCGCUCGGUGCUUUCAGUGCAUUCAUACUGCGUUUUGAUUGUUUGCUCGUAAAUGUCACGAAACCAG
ensembl:lncRNA